CAUGCUUAACACAUGCAAGUCGAACGAAUAAGAGCCCAAGCUUGCUUGGGAGUUCUGUUAGUGGCAUACGGGUGAGUAACGCGUGGGAAUCUGCCCAGUAGUACGGAAUAACAGCUGGAAACGACUGCUAAUACCGUAUACGCUCUCCGGGGGAAAGAUUUAUUGCUAUUGGAUGAGCCCGCGUUAGAUUAGCUAGUUGGUAAGGUAAUGGCUUACCAAGGGUACGAUAUAUAGCUGGUCUGGGAGGAUGACCAGCCACAGUGUGACAGAGACACGGCACAGACUCCGACGGGAGGCAGCGGUGGGGAAGAUUGGAGAAUGGGCGAACGCCUGAUCCAGCAAUGCCGCGUGAAUGAUGAAGGCCUUAGGGUUGUAAAGCUCUUUUACCCGGGAUGAUAAUGACAGUACCGGGAGAAUAAGCUCCGGCUAACUCCGUGCCAGCCGCCGCCGUAA
rnacentral:rRNA from 1 species